UACGUAGGGUGCAAGCGUUGUCCGGAAUUAUUGGGCGUAAAGAGCUCGUAGGCGGUCUGUCGCGUCGGCUGUGAAAACCCAGGGCUCAACCCUGGGCCUGCAGUCGAUACGGGCAGACUAGAGUCCGGCAGGGGAGACUGGAAUUCCUGGUGUAGCGGUGAAAUGCGCAGAUAUCAGGAGGAACACCAAAGGCGAAGGCAGUGUCCUGGGGAGUACCUGACGCUCAGGUGCGAAAGCCAGGGGAGCGAACGGG
rnacentral:rRNA from 1 species